ACGAAGCGAGAUGUCGACGCGCCGCAAGGCGUCCGGCCCUCCGCGAGCACCCGCGGGGGUUCGGGAAACGGACCCGGUCCGAUCCCGUUCCCACCGAGGGGCUGUCCGCGCUAAAAUGGAGGUGUCCUCGGACGGCGUCGUAACUCAAAGUCUCCAGUCCGCGGUGCAACGGCUUGGAUGGUCCACCCGACCCGUCUUGAAACACGGACCAAGGAGUCUAACAUGCGCGCGAGUCGUUGGGUCUGAAGCGCUACGCUAAACCCAUAGGCGCAAUGAAAGUGAAGGCCGCCGUUCGGGCGGCCGAGGGAGGAUCGGGCUGCGGCCCUCGCACUCCCGGGGCGUCUGAUCUCUCAUCGCGAGAGGAGGCGCACCCAGAGCGCACACGUUGGGACCCGAAAGAUGGUGAACUAUGCCUGGCCAGGACGAAGUCAGGGGAAACCCUGAUGGAGGUCCGUAGCGAUUCUGACGUGCAAAUCGAUCGUCGGAGCUGGGUAUAGGGGCGAAAGACUAAUCGAACCAUCUAGUAGCUGGUUCCCUCCGAAGUUUCCCUCAGGAUAGCUUGCGCUCGGAGGAGAGUCUCAUCCGGUAAAGCGAAUGAUUAGAGGCCUUGGGGCCGAAACGGCUUCAACCUAUUCUCAAACUUUAAAUGGGUGAGAGCUCCGGCUUGCUCGAUUCACGAAGCCGGAGACUGGAUCGGAGUGCCUAGUGGGCCACUUUUGGUAAGCAGAACUGGCGCUGUGGGAUGAACCAAACGACGGGUUAAGGCGCCCGAAUCGACGCUCAUGGGAAACCAUGAAAGGUGUUGGUUGCUUAAGACAGCAGGACGGUGGCCAUGGAAGUCGGAAUCCGCUAAGGAGUGUGUAAUAACUCACCUGCCGAAGCAACUAGCCCUGAAAAUGGAUGGCGCUGAAGCGUCGUGCCUAUACCCGGCCGUCGCGGCAGGGCGGGACCCGAGCGAUCGGGUCUCCGUUCGAUGCGGCGACGAGUAGGAGGGUCGCGGCGGCGUGCGCAGAAGGGUCUGGGCUCGAGCCUGCCUGGAGCCGCCGCCGGUGCAGAUCUUGGUGGUAGUAGCAAAUACUCCAGCGAGGCCCUGGAGGACUGAUGUGGAGAAGGGUUUCGUGUGAACAGCCGUUGCACACGAGUCAGUCGAUCCUAAGCCCUAGGAGAAAUCCGACGCCUACGGCGACGGGAAAAAGAAAAAUUUGAAAAUACCCCGUUGAUCGGGCGAAAGGGAAUCCGGUUCCUAUUCCGGAACCCGGCAGCGGAACCGCUGUUUGUCGGGCCCUCAAAAGGGGUUCGUCAGGGUAACCUAAAAGGGCCCGGAGACGCCGUCGGGAGCCCCGGAAAGAGUUUUCUUUUCUGCAUGAGCGUUCGAGUUCCCUG
rnacentral:rRNA from 1 species